AUGGGUAAGAAGCUUGAUGCUCUCCUUGGUAGAACCUUCAAGGCUUCAAAGUUCAAGGCAACUGUUAACCUUGCCACCUCACGCAUAGCUGUUCUCAAGAACCAGCGCCAUGCUCGCCUUAGACAUGCACGUUCUGAUGUGCUUGAACUCCUCCAACUUGGUCACCAAGAACGAGCCUCACUUAGAGCUGAGCAUGUGAUAAAGGAUCAGAACAUGUUGGAUGUGUAUGACAUGAUUGAGGGAUACUGCAACCUCUUGAUUGAAAGGGUCCACCUCAUUGAACAAGAAAGAGAAUGUCCCGAGGAACUGAAGGAGGCAGCAUCUGGAUUACUCUAUGCAGCUUCUAGGUGUGGAGAUUUCCCAGAAAUUCAAGAGAUUCGCGGUGUUCUGACCACGCGGUUUGGCAAGGAAUUUGCUGCUCGUGCUAUCGAGUUGAGGAAUAACUGUGGAGUUCAUCCUCAGAUUAUACAAAAGAUGUCAACAAGGAUGCCAAGCUUGGAGAUCAGAAUGAAGGCACUCAAAGACAUUGCUUCUGAGAAUGGUAUUGUUCUGCAGCUUGAAGAAACUUCUGUGUCGGUUGAGGAACACUUCAAUUUGGAAAAGCAAAACCUGCAUGAACCUGAGAAAAAGGAAGAGAAUGCAAGCAUUUUGCCUAGUAGAGGGAAAGAUGAGGAGUUAACUGAUUCCUUUAAGGGCAGGCAAAAGUACAAGGACGUGGCUGAUGCAGCACAAGCAGCUUUUGAGUCAGCAGCAUAUGCUGCAGCUGCUGCAAGAGCAGCACUGGAACUCUCCCGAUCUGAAUCACAUGAUCCUGAUGAUCAUGAUAGUCCAAGCCCCCAACCAAGAAAAGUAGAGGAUGAUGGACAUGAUAAUGUGAGGCCUCCACCGGAAGAAAAUGAAAUCCUCAGUGAAACAGAAGAAGAAUUUGACAAGGAUAUAGAUGACAUAAAAAGGCCAAAAGACAUUAUAAGUUGCAAUUCAACCGAUGAGAUUUUGAAGGGGGCUGAAAUUGAUGCUGAUCCUUUGGAAAAGGAAAUAGUUUUUGAUGAAACUGAUGAAGAGACUGAUAAUGAACAUAAAAGAAAUCAAUCUUCUAAGACUUCUUCAGAGUAUGGUGCUGGAAUUGAGGUUGGUUCAGGUUCUAGGAAACUAGUAUUAAAUACAGUGGCAGGAUCCGAGAUGCAGAGCGUGCCUCAGUUGGAUUUGCAGAAGAGGCCAAUUUCAGUGAGGACAAGAUGAAUGCAAAAUUACUGAGUAAUGGGUGCAAGUAGCACGCAAUGUUGCAUUGCAUAUGAUUGAAGUUUUGCUGGUACCUUCUGGACAUGGACAUGGACAUGGGAAACAGGCUGAUAUUUGAUCAUACACGGAAAUAUAUGACUGUAGAAGAAACCUUAAAAAAUAAGAGAAUUCGAAGUUACAAAUUGAUCUUCAAUGGGAUCUCCUAUUUGACAUCAGGGUUUUCUUCCUCUCAAAGUGCGUCUAUGGCUUCCGCAUCUCAGUUCUCUAUCUCUCAAUCGUUUCUGAACUCCAUUGCUGAGAAGCUUGAUGAUUCGAACUAUCUCCACUGGAAGCAAUAUGGUGAACCAGUUGAACCAGUGAUCAAAUCGCACAAGUUACAACAAUUUGUGGUAAAUCUGGUGGUUCUGCAUGCGAAGUUCAAGAUCAAACGUUACUUGUUUAGCUUCAAUCUACUCUUUCUUAGUCAGUUUUUUCUCGUGUUCUUGGAUAGACUCACUCCUAUCAAGUUUGGGAGAAGACUCACGAGUAUUUUGGUCUUCAAACAAAAUCUUGUGCGUGACAGUUGCUCUCUGCCAUGCCUAUUGUUCGUCUCGAAAACAAAUCGAUGGAAGAGUAUCUUCAUAAGAUCAAAAGCUUUAUUGAUGAACUUGCAGGAGUUGGAGUUCAUGAUGGAAAUCAAUAUCCAAGGAUGCCUUUGGAAGAGGUAAGAUCAAGAAGGGUGAAGGUUAAUUCAUAGGAGAGCUCACACUUGAAGACCAUUAGGCCUUUAACUAGAUUCAUGGUUAGGAAAGGAGACUUCUAUAGAGGAGGUGCUUCUUAAAGCUUUACUCAAUAUGAGCAUUGAGUAUGAUUCUUCUUUUUAGUCUCAUAGUCUCUUUGUACAUAUCUUGUAUAGUUUGAGUUAUUGUACCUUGUAUAUAGUAGAUACUUGUAUAUGUGUAUUUUUCCUUUAUAUUUGUAAGGUACCUUUUCCUUUUCUUAUAGGUCAUCCUUUUAGGAUUUUAGGGUAUAAUGUUUGAAGACUUUUGAUCCAUUUGACUUUGUAUUAAGGUUCAUUGAUUUUCAUA